GAGCGUUUUCCAUCCUGCAGGCAUUUGCUCACCUAGACCCUCUGGGAGAAGCUCCAGGGCCGUUCCCCCAGGGCGCAGAAAGGCUGCAGAGCCGCCGUGGUGGCCAGGCCUUACCUCCGUGGCUGCGGGCCGGGGUCUGCAGCAGCAGCAGCCUCCAGCUGAGGAAGGCGGCGAUGGCCAGGGCGGCCGAGAGGCCGAGGCGGGGAAGGAAGCGCAUUUCUGGGCUCUGAUAUUUGGACUGUUCUUCCCUUUGGGACCUGAGUAAGAGAGCAAUCCUGAAAGAGCCUUCAGGAGCAACUUUUCCACCCCACCAGCAUGGGGACAAAGCCUCUGCUCGGCCCCCAACUUCACAGAGAAGCUCAGCCCCUCCUGGCAUGGCACUGCAUGGGGGAAAGACACAAGGCACCGAGGUUUGGCUUCAGGGCUUUGGGCUGGCCCUGCUCAGUUCCCACCACCCCUAACCAGGACAUCAGGGGCCUGACCCCCCCAGGACACCCAGCUGGUCGUGCCUGUGUCCCCCCAUCUGUUCAGGCUCUCUCAAGUCUCUCUCAAAUCUCUCCUGCAAACCAAAUGCAUACCUGAGGUGUUUUCACAGGAGCUGAGCAGCCCAUCAUGGCAAGUCACAACAUGAAGGUUCCAAAACCUACCCCAUAACUGU